rfam:Streptomyces aureofaciens strain ATCC 10762 contig_43, whole genome shotgun sequence.
UCGUGGGUCGGCCCGCCGUCGAGGACCCGGCGGGCCGGGGGAUGCCGCCGCCUCAAUCCCCGCGGGCGGCGGUCAAGUCCGGGAGGGCAUGCGGAUGCCCUCCCGGGCGGGG